CCUGCACCCCUUCCCAACACCACCACCCAACACAACCACCCAACCCAUCUUCCAUUUGCUCCCUGCAUCCUGAAUGGCAGUGCCAAACAUUUCAGUCUCCGACAGAAGUGGGAGACGUCGUACAUCGUGCUGACCUGCUUUGUCCGUCCUGACGCAGGAGCAGAGUGUCAGCUGCCCUGCUUUCUCUCCCCCUCUGUCUCCUCUGUCUGCCUCAUCAGCCUGUAGAAAAGAGUUUUUUUUAAAAAGAGGGAAACAAUCUGAAGUCUAGGACGAAGACGCGCCUGCACCAUGAGGAGUCGUAUACUGACAGAGGAGCGGCGGUGGAUGAGGAGGAAGAAGAGGAGGAGGAAGAGGAGGAGAGACUGGAGGGAAGGAGCUGUUGCUGCAGCAGAGACCCGGCGCACCGCAUCACGGGGGAAACCCGGGAGCUGUCCAGCAGCAAUGGUGCUGAAACCACACCAAGUGGCGGUAGUGGGCUGUUACUGGACGGAACGACAAAGGUGGAAACCUGGUGACUUGUCUCGACCCCGCUGCUGCAGCUGAAGAUGAUGAUGACGCUGUUGGAGCCUCCAGCUGUGCACCGGAGGAGAAAAAAAGGGGGGACCCGCACUUAUGGAUGUUUUCACCGAGGAGUGCACGGUCAGAAAGAUGGACAUCGACCUCCCCCCUCCUCCCCCAUUCUUCCUCAUCCCGAGAACAGGGGCCCGAGGUGAGGAUUGAUGGAGGGGAAAUCCUGGCUGAGUGAAACACGUCUGAUGACGUCCGCUCUCCCUCCUCUUUCUUUUGCCUCCUCACUCCUCUGCAUCUUCUCCUCAGUCUCCCCUUCUCUUGCGCCACAGGAUUUAGGGCUGAAAUGACGAUCGUAAGAGGGGAAAAUUGGAAACUGCACUGAGAUCCAGGAAGAGUCUGGGAAGAUGCAGCUGCUGUCGUCUUUCGGGUCAAUCAGGAAUGUAUAGCUGCUGGGCUGCGAGGACAGGACGUGAAGGUGGACUCACCAAACGUGUGUGUGUCAUGUUAAAAUGUAUCAUCUUUAAUAUUAUCAGUUCAAACCCACUUUGUGGCUACUUUUGUCUCUCUAACAUAAUUCCUCUGGCUGUGUUACACUGUACUGUAAAUGUUGUGUAUUUGCUUCUUCAAUGUGAAAAUUGUAACAAAUAUCUCUGUGUAAAAACUCGGCCAACAUCACAGCCUGUAAUGUGAUAAAUGUUUAUUAACGAGGAGAUGAAUGUAAAAAUAUUGCGUGCGUAAAAAUAUUCCAGAAAACAAAAUCCCUGCUUGAAAAAAAAAACUUUGUGUACAUUUUAUUUUGUCAAAGAUGACUUUUAGUAAAUAUAUUAUUACUUUGUAUGGCUGGUCAGUGAGCAGUUUCAUUUUCAUCCCGUUUGCAAAUGUUGCACAACUCGCUGCUGCUGCCUUCCCCGGUCUCCUCCAUCUCUCUCCACUUGUGUCAGAGAAUUUGAGCAGCUGCAUGACGACUGUCAGCAUGUGGACUCAGUUUCAUACUCUCUACCCUCUUCUGAGUACACGACAGGCUUUGCUUAGUGCCACACAGCCUCGGUUUGUCAGGAUUUCAUGUUUAGUUUAGGUGUGUGUGCAAGAGAGAGUGGGGCAGGGAGAGGGAGCAUGGCGGCACAGGGGGGGGAGCGUUGGAGUGUAUUGCGCACAGCGUGUCUCUGGGUCGGAGUGGGGAACAGAGAGCGCGCACAUGAGACAAAAUCGUGACAGUGGGUUGUGCUGAAACAUCCAGCAUCUUUAAACACGACUGGAUUAUGGAUGUGACUUUUGAAUCGAUAUGAUGUGAAAAUGAAAUAAA